GUGAAAACCAUUACGGGCUCUAAAAAUCAAGAAUUCUGUUUGGGCUUAUAUCAGGUUGACCUUUUCAGACCCGAUUGUUUUGUGUGUCUGAGCUUACGAUCUCUCUUCUGUUUCCUGUAAUCCAAGAUCAGGUUUCUGUAUUCAAGAGCUUAUCAUCCCUCUUCCGCUUCCUCGGCCAAAUAACGCAUCAGAGUUGUGUCAUUCAAUGAAGAAAACCCAAAAAUCCCAUGAACUCUUCUUUAUUUAUUGUUCAGUAGAUCUCCUCACUAUAUAUAUACGUUCGGUGUGGCCUUCCAGUUUCCCAUACUCUCAGCCUAUUACUUAUGGGCUGAAACUCUCAGACAAGCUCUUCAAAAAUGGCAACUUCCAGCUACACUUUUCCGAAUUGAAGACAUGCCGGUGUAUGGUAUGGAUAUUUUUUUUUUCCUUUGACCAAGGUGUAAGUAUAUUGUUCAGACAAGACUUUUCUGUUUUGGGGACGUCUCAUGUUGUGAGAAAGGAGGUCAAUUGAUGGGCGUGGGUAUACUACUUCUUGACGCCAAGCUAUUUUGUCCGACUGAGAUUUUUUUUUAGAUAACUAUGGUAUUGAUGUUGUGUUCAAGAUGUUGGCUGAGUAACCUACUUUAUUCUCAGGUGACUGUGGUUCAGGGCUUCAGUACAUAGAUAAAUGUACACCGGCUGAACAUCUUCUAAUGCUUAUCGAGUGAAAGGCCUGUUUCUGAGCUGGGGGCUUUUGAUGUAACAAGAAGCAACCGGAACAUCUUUGUGGAGAUAUCUGAAUAGGCUCAAACCAAUAUCGGUAGAGCACUUCAGGUUUCUGAUUAUGACCAACUAAUGAUAUUGUUGAGAAAGUAAAGGGGACAAGAACUACAUACAAUGAAAGAGACUCAGAGUACAACGUAUGAUGUUUACCAUAAGCAUCAAAAGGAAGCAACUAGAUCCAUGUAUCGACAUGUAUAAAAACUUUCCUGACUGUCGGUUUACAAACCCAAUGAUGAAAUGAGAACUUCUGAGGAGCAGUUUUGAACCGAAUGUGGUGGUUGCCACAAACUUCAACCCUAAAUUAUUUGGGAGUCGGCUCUUCCUGAAUGCAACCUCUGCAAUUCAUUUCUAUUUUGAUAAUGAGAGUGGUGCAGAUACAGGUUAUCUUUUGAGGACAUGUGGCAGUUGCAAAGGCACGACCUCCAGUACUACUAAAGAUGGGGGUGUUAAGAAGAUUUAGAGAAUGACGGUAGCAGAGCUAAAUGACUGUCCUAAAAUCUCCACCUCAAUCAGAAGAAUUCAUUUUCACUGGCGUUGUAAGUGGAAUCGACACAUCAAAUGAAUGGUCCUACAUUUCUUGCUCCAAGUGCUACCGGAAAUUGCAGCGUGGGUUUACAUCAUUCACAUAGGCUUCCUGCAAUUAUGUGAACGCAUAAGGUACCAUGUGCAAAUGACUGUUUGAUGCAACCGACACUGACGCAUUUGUAGCUUUUGACACUGAAAUAACUAAACUGACCAAUAUCCGGCCUGCAGAUGUGUCUCCCACCGGCAAGUUCUUAUUUGUGCUCGACUAGCACCUUCACGUUCUUAAUUUUGGGAACAGCCACUAAUAUUUUCACAUUCUUUGGCUUAUGAAGGCCACAGGUGCACAAGACCCACAUGAUCGGGACCUUCCAAAAUGCUUACAGGAUAUUGUUGAGAGCACUUUAAUCUUCUCUUUAAACCUAUUUCACUUCAACUUCAUUGCAAAAUAAUAGAGUUUCACCUUCUCUUGCAUUCUUGAGAACAAUCUUUACCCUCUCUAGCGUAAUUUUGAGGUCCAGUUGGUCAAUA